rnacentral:rRNA from 1 species
AUGAACGCUAGCUACAGGCUUAACACAUGCAAGUCGAGGGGCAGCAUGGUCUUAGCUUGCUAAGGCCGAUGGCGACCGGCGCACGGGUGAGUAACACGUAUCCAACCUGCCGUCUACUCUUGGACAGCCUUCUGAAAGGAAGAUUAAUACAAGAUGGCAUCAUGAGUCCACAUGUUCACAUGAUUAAAGGUAUUCCGGUAGACGAUGGGGAUGCGUUCCAUUAGAUAGUAGGCGGGGUAACGGCCCACCUAGUCUUCGAUGGAUAGGGGUUCUGAGAGGAAGGUCCCCCACAUUGGAACUGAGACACGGUCCAAACUCCUACGGGAGGCAGCAGUGAGGAAUAUUGGUCAAUGGGCGAGAGCCUGAACCAGCCAAGUAGCGUGAAGGAUGACUGCCCUAUGGGUUGUAAACUUCUUUUAUAAAGGAAUAAAGUCGGGUAUGCAUACCCGUUUGCAUGUACUUUAUGAAUAAGGAUCGGCUAACUCCGUGCCAGCAGCCGCGGUAAUACGGAGGAUCCGAGCGUUAUCCGGAUUUAUUGGGUUUAAAGGGAGCGUAGAUGGAUGUUUAAGUCAGUUGUGAAAGUUUGCGGCUCAACCGUAAAAUUGCAGUUGAUACUGGAUAUCUUGAGUGCAGUUGAGGCAGGCGGAAUUCGUGGUGUAGCGGUGAAAUGCUUAGAUAUCACGAAGAACUCCGAUUGCGAAGGCAGCCUGCUAAGCUGCAACUGACAUUGAGGCUCGAAAGUGUGGGUAUCAAACAGGAUUAGAUACCCUGGUAGUCCACACGGUAAACGAUGAAUACUCGCUGUUUGCGAUAUACUGCAAGCGGCCAAGCGAAAGCGUUAAGUAUUCCACCUGGGGAGUACGCCGGCAACGGUGAAACUCAAAGGAAUUGACGGGGGCCCGCACAAGCGGUGGAGUAUGUGGUUUAAUUCGACGCAACGCGAAGAACCUUACCAGGUCUUGACAUCGAUCUAAAGGCUCCAGAGAUGGAGAGAUAGCUAUAGAGAAGACAGGUGGUGCAUGGUUGUCGUCAGCUCGUGUCGUGAGAUGUUGGGUUAAGUCCCGCAACGAGCGCAACCCCUGUUCUUAGUUGCCAGCACAUAAUGGUGGGAACUCUAAGAAGACUGCCGGUGAUAAAUCGGAGGAAGGUGGGGACGACGUCAAAUCAUCAUGCCCCUUAUGACCUGGGCCUCACACGUACUACAAUGGCUGUAAACAGAGGGAUGCAAAGCCGCGAGGUGGAGCGAACCCCUAAAAGCAGUCUUAGUUCGGAUUGUAGGCUGCAACCCGCCUACAUGAAGUCGGAAUUGCUAGUAAUCGCGGAUCAGCAUGCCGCGGUGAAUACGUUCCCGGGCCUUGUACACACCGCCCGUCACACCAUGAGAGUCGGUAACACCCGAAGCCGGUGGCCUAACCGCAAGGAAGGAGCUGUCUAAGGUGGGACUGAUGAUUGGGGUG